rnacentral:lncRNA from 1 species
GGCAUUGUCCCCACUCAGAAAUGCUCCAAAAGAACUAAGGAGAAGGAUUAGAGGAGACAAAAUGUUUUUGCUAAAUUCUUGCACUGAAGCCAGAGUUGCUCAGGAAAUAACAGCUCAGUUUGUUAGCUCUGAUCUCUAAUUCCAUCCCAAAUUCAUAACGUUAUUUUUUUUGUUUGUUUCCAUUGUUCAUUUGUUGUGUGCCUCUUAGGAUGUCCCUUUCCAUCUGGGCCUCAAUGACCUUCCCUGGGAAAUGGGGUACUUGUACUUAACCAUACCCCUGCUUCUAAAGACAAACUGGGAAAAUUAAAUGGAAAUUCUAAAAGAAAGCUUCAUCUUUUAGUUCCUUAGAGAACUAGCAUUACAGUUGAUUACCUAGGUGAUGAUUCAAGCUAUUCAACCCUUGUCAUUCUGAAUGUACUUCUCUUCCAGCUUGCCUUGGAAAGAAAAUCAGCCAGUUAAAGAAAGCAUCAGCUGGAACUCUCUCAGCUCUCAGUGACUGCAGAGUGAACUAUGGCAUUCAGCAUAGAAAAUGUUCUUCCAGUGCUCCAAUAAAUAGCAUUCAGUUUUUAGCCCCAGGGAAUUCAGUGUAGCCCUGGUUACUCCUCACUGCCACAGCCAACACUGCUUCCUUGGGUAGGAGAAAUGAUUUAUGGAGGUGAGCAGCCAUUCCAAACUUUAAUUAAGCACGUAAAGAACCAUCAAUUUUUUAAAGGGCACCAACCCAGAAAGAUGAGAGCUGAACUCCUGUAGAACAUAAUUACCUUUCCAACAUUUUAUCUGAUCUCCUUGUUUUACUUCUCUAAGAUGAGCUGAACAACAGCCAAUCAACCACCCCCACAGAAACCAUGGAAAUGCACAGGCCACCCUUGGACCAUGACAUACAGGGCAUCUGACUGAUAGUCCCACCAAGACUGCCUAUGAUCAUAAAUGUCCAGCUGUUUGGGCAGACAGCAGUCAAGGCUGUGCUGUGGUGCAGUUUACUCCUGCAGAGAAAGAUGUGCCUAAAAGAGAAGCAGCACCUACCUGGAAGACUCAGGAGACAAAGAGGGAAAGAGUGGGACACAGUGGAUUAUGCUCACCCUGAGGGUUAUCUGAGAAGAUUUCUGAGAACCUGAGAGUCUCAAAUGCCUGAGAGGUGGGAGCUGCAUAGAGAGGAACAGAAAUGAAUCCCCAAGAUUUCCUGGGCUGAGCCUAACAGGAUAUGAGAAGCAGAAACUUCUGGAUUGUGAGAAGAAACAAAGGAAGAAGAGAGAUGCUCUAUAGGAGAAAAAUCACAGACAAUAAGUGGGGAGAGCAAGAAGACAAAGUUUUGUUACUUUAAUUCACCACUCCUAUCCCCAGCCACCAGUGGCCAUCCUGUACUGGAUUCUAAACCCAGGGCCCUAA